UACGGAGGGUGCAAGCGUUGCUCGGAAUUAUUGGGCGUAAAGGGUAGGUAGGUGGUCUUAUUUGUCUGGGGUGAAAGCCUUGAGCUUAACUUAAGAAGUGCCCCAGAAACGGUGAGACUAGAGUCCUGGAGAGGGUCGUGGAAUUCCCGGUGUAGCGGUGAAAUGCGUAGAGAUCGGGAGGAACACCAGAGGCGAAAGCGGCGACCUGGACAGGCACUGACACUCAACUACGAAAGCGUGGGGAGCAAACAGG
rnacentral:rRNA from 1 species